rnacentral:misc_RNA from 1 species
UUGAAUUCUGAAGGGGGGAAGGUCAGGGAGAGAGUGUUUGCAGACUGUUGCUGGCCAUCUGGCAUCGUGCACGUCUCUUGCUUUUUCCUUGGUCUUUCUCUCUCUUCAAUUUCACAACACCUGUGCACCUGCUGUAGGUCCUUGAAAGAGGAUCUAUGUUUUUUUCCAUACAUCACAUCUAUUGCAUGUCUAUAGAAUGUAUUGAUUAAAAAAUCAUUAUA